GUGUGUUUGCAGACCGGCUGCAGCCGCGGCAGAGGAUCUUCAUGGCGGCCGCCUGAGAGGCGGAGGGCGGGCCCGGAGAAAACAGGGAAUGGGGAUAUUGAGCCCGAUCUGCUAGCAGAGGACUCACCGCUGCCUUGCUUUCCCACCCUGACCCACCAACCCCUCACCCGGAACCCGGGCUUGCCUUCUUUACGGGACGACCGGGCCGCACAGGCCGGAAUUAACCGGAGAAGAGGCUGGGCCGCCGCAGAGCCGGGAGGGGUGGUGGGAAGCCAGAGCUGACGAAGUUGGAAAGGACGUGUAGGCGACUAGGCCUGCGCCUCUUGGGGACACCUGAGGACGCCCGCUGGGCAGCUGGCUGAGGAGGGGCCGCCGGGAGGGCGCUCGAUAGCAGGCGUGUCAUUGGGACACUUAAGGCUGCUCUAGCUGUGGCCAGCUUAGAAACAAAGGUCCCGGCAGCGAGGAGAGCGCCCGCCCCAGGAUUUCCUCGAAGAGUGUGUCGUUCUCCCUCCCGGAGGAGCGCGGCCUUCCGUUCCCCGGAGGGCUCUGGAAAGGCCCUUUAACCGGGGUGCCGUCGGGCUCCAUCCUGCUGUGAAAGCGGGAGGAACUACGUUCCCCAGGCUUGAAAAUAAGCGUCCUGCUGGGUUGGCUGCGGCACUGCCAAAGCUAACCCGGCGGAGGUCCUUUGAUCCCGGGGCCACCGCCCGCUCCCACCACCACCUCGGCCUCGGGGAGAACCUGAGCAGGGCUCUCCCACUGAGGGCGUCCUCCCGACUGGGCAUGCACGUGAGGCCGGGGCUGGCUUCGGUCCUCUUCCCUGGGGUAGGAGGCUGGAGGAAACCGAUUUCUCUGCACCCUAAUCUUGCCCUGGCUCCUCCUGAGUGGGGUGAGGAAUCUGGUCGCUCUCCAAGGCUACAGCGACCGGAGUCCUUCAGGGGACACUGUGCAGUCAGCAGUACAACCUGUUGGAGAAAGAUGGCUGAAUCGAGGUGUCUUUCCCCUGUCAACUUUCACUCGGUCAAUCCAAUGUUGAGAAAGGGCUUUUUUUGUUUGUUUGUUAAUUAGUCGCCUAUUCUCACAGUCAUCAGUUUCUGCUUGGUGACUAGUAUUUCGAGCACACAAAUCAGAAGCGACCCUGUAAUUUGUUAAGCAAAGAGCAGAUUUUAUGUGAUUUUUCUACAGCAAGAAACGAUAAUUAAAAAGGUUUGGUAAAACAGGAAAA
rnacentral:lncRNA from 10 species